rnacentral:lncRNA from 1 species
GUAUUAAAUAGUUGCGUAAACCACAUCUUCUCCAACUUUAAUGUGGCUGGGAUUCAAGUGGGUAUCUUUCUAAAAUGCAGAUUCUGAUUCAAAAGGUCUGGGGUUGAGUCACAGAUUCUGUAUUUCUUACAACACUGGCAUCUUAUGUGAUGCCACUGUUGCUGGACCAAAGACCAUAUUGUAAGUAGCAAGCAUAUAAACAACCUUGUUUUGUAAAUAAGAAAACAGGAUUAAGACGGCAAAUAAUUUACCACGAUCACAGAGCUACGGUGAGUCAGGAUUUGAAUUCAGGUGUAUCUGACCAACCAAUAAAGAGCCUAUCAAGGUGCUGGAGGAUGCAGGGAUUAGAGCCAGCAGAGUAAGUUUGGAGGAGGAGGCUGACCUCCUUAAAUGUGAGAAUUUACUGGGAAAUGGUGGGAGACAACAUCGGUACCAGAAAUAGAAGUCAUCCACUGCUUAAUAUAGAAUUAGUGCUACAGAGAAGAAACAGAAGUCAAACCUUGUUUCUUGACCUGUGAAUAUCAAGACAUUCCAUUGACUGGGGAGCCAUGAUGCAGAGUUACUCCCUUCCAUCACAGAUGCGUCCACGACAUUGUCAUAAGAGAAGACUUCAAAUUAACCUGAGACUGAUUUGCGAUUUGGGAAAAUGAAUGCAGAACGAGGAGAACUGGUUCCACGGCCGCAUCAUGGAAGGAAACAAAGAAAGGAAAAGAAAAGAAAGAAAAGGAGAAGAAUAUCUAGAAGAUCUGCUUGUGUAGACUUGCCCUUUGGUCCAACGUGUUACAAAUCAAUGCAAAGACUUCCAAGAUAUAGAAGAGGGAGGUGCAGAACAGACUCUUCGCUGACGUGCUUGGGACACUGUGGAAGUUUUAUAAGCAUGUCUGGCUGAAUUUAAUGCUGUAGUUUUUAACCGACAUCUAAUAUAUGUGGAGAUGCUAACCUGAUUCCAGGACUAUUGAUUUACUUGUUCUUUCGUGCCG